rnacentral:tRNA from 1 species
GAGGGUAUAGCUCAGUGGUAGAGUAUGUGCUUAACAUGCACAAGGUCCUAGGUUCAAUCCUCAGUACCUCCA